CUCCCUGACUCCUCUUUGCCAGAAGCCCUCAUGGCAGCUGUUGAGAGAGGUGCUCAUGCACCUCAGAUGGGGAUACGCCAAGCAUCCUUAUUUUAUAGCUGCCAUAGCAAUUCCCUGAUAAGGAUGCUUGGCGUAUCCCCAUCUGCUGGCAGCUAUAAAAUUUAUAGCUGCCAUAGCAAUUCCCUGAUAAGGAUGCUUGGCGUAUCCCCAUCUGAGGUGCAUGAGCACCUCUCUCAACAGUUGCCAUGAAGGCUUCUGGCAAAGAGGAGUCAGGGA
rnacentral:pre_miRNA from 1 species